CAUCUUGGGCCACCACCAUGGAAGCCGAGGCCGAGCCAGGAACUGAAACUGGUUUUAGAAAUGGGGGGUAGAUAAGGGCCCGGCUGGAAGGAGCUGCUUGCCCCCACCCACUUCACGUCCUGUAGUCCUGGAGUCUUUAGUCAUACCUGGGUGAGGAGGGGGAGGUUUUUAAGGCAAACCCCUCCCUCCUCUGGGAGUCAUCCUGCGCCUGUCCCCUACAGAGCGCACUCUCUGUCCCCAGCCUCGGCAGACACCACAGUCCGUCACAUGUCCAUCUUCGCACCCUUGCUCUGGAGGCUGCACUCUCUGAUCCGAUCCCCUCCCCGCUCCUCAGCUCCUACGGCCUUCAGACUUGCCGAGCAUUGUUGUUGCCUCCCACCCCACUUCUCCAUGGUAACACAGGAAGAAAAAAAAGGUUAAACAGAAUUGCCCGCCACAGCACCACAGCAGUGCAUGGAACAUUCUGGACUCCAGACCGCCAGCACUCACCCUGAACGCAGGGGCUGCCUUUUAUAAAGACCCAGCAGAGAGCUGUGGGCUGCACACAGUGUAACUGAGUACAUGCUAAGGUAAGGUGGCCUCAUGCAUGUACGUAGGGCCAUAUAGUUCAGACACCUAAACAUCCAUGUAUCUCCCACCCUUAAAAAACAAUCACUUGAUCCAAUUAUCCCUCCAUCUCUCUUCUUUUUCUCAGAAAAUCUCCUAGAAAAAGCUGCCUAUACUAGGUGUUUUAACUUUUUCUCCUCUCAUUUGACUCGGAACUUUCUGCAUUCUGGCUUUCAACCCAAGCAUUCAACUGAAACUGUUCUUUCUUAAGUCAUCAAUGAUCUCUUAAUUGCCAAAUCUAAUGACCCUUCCUCAGUGCUCAUCCUUCUUGACCCCUCUGUAGCCUGUGACACUAUCAUCCUUUUCUCCUGAAUACUCUGUCCCCUCUACGUUUUUGUGACCCUUACUGCUUUCUCCUGCUUCUUCUCCUGUAUGACCCCUUUCCCAGUUUCUUCCUGGGUCAUCUUCCAGGAUACACCCACUAGAUAUGGAUGUGUCUUGAGGCUCUAUACUGGAGCUACUCUUCUCUUAUAUUAUCUUAUUUGGUGCUCCCAUCAGCUCCCAUAAAUUCACUUCUAAUCUGUAUGUAGAUGACAUCAUGAUGUCUAUAUCUAGCCCUAAUCUCUCAUGAACUCCAGUCUCAUGUUACCAAACAUCUUUUGGACCUCUAAAACUAGAUGUCCUGUAGGCAACUGAAAUUCAAACAUAUCCAAAACAAACUUAACUUUCCAAAGAAAACAAACAAACAAAACCAACCCAAAACAAACCUUCCUCUUUUCACAUCUUGACUAUUUCUGAGGAGGGUACUUCUAUCCUCAAAGUCACCCUGACUUUCACCUCAUUUAUCAUCCUCCUCUCCCAAUACUCACCUCACUCAUUCUAUUGUCACUUUGUUUCUACAGUUGCAAUCUCUCCUGUAUGUAUGCCCUUCUCUCCACUCACACAGUUGCUACC
rnacentral:lncRNA from 1 species